rnacentral:lncRNA from 1 species
UAUCGACUCAGUUGGACUUUGCCCAAGGCCACAGUUCCAAGUGGGGGUUCUGCCAAAGGCCAACAUCCGAGUUGAGAAAAAAAAUCUACCGGCACCACUUCCCUGGCUCCUCAGUCUGGAUUGUUAAUUAAUUACAGAUGAAGUUUUCUGCCCACUUUUGUCCAUGACAGGCCAAAAGAAAGACCAACCAAAUCCUUCCGAGAUUUCACGGCGACCACUACUGCAGGGAGAUCGCUUGGUGGGUUCGGUGAUAAUGCAUCUGCAGAACUGACCCUUCAGAGCAGUGUGGGAAACUGUCAUACAAGUGUAAAGAGGACCACCCACCUACCACUGGGCCCUUUGAGUAUGGUCAACCCCAUGAGGAAAAAAAUCUCAGCAAUUUUGCCCCAACACCAGAGAACUGGCAGGGAGAGAGACUUCCACAGCACCAGUAGAAGGAGCCAAGGAAUUAGGAUAAGAGCAUGGAAGUGGUGAGGCAAUGAAGAUGGAUGGGAAAACACAACAUGGCUUUCAGGCUUCUUAGUAGAGCAGUGAGAACAAACAACGGAGGAGACAGGAGCUGUAAGGCCUGGAAGCACAACUGAGGCACAUAAUAUGACUACAGGCUGUAAGUUGUAGAUCAAAGAAAGUAUAGUAGAUGGUUCGUGUCAAACCUUACUACUUUUGUUCAAAAUAAAAAUCAGUGUACCUUUAUUUUUCUCUAAAUG